rnacentral:rRNA from 1 species
UACGUAGGGUGCGAGCGUUGUCCGGAAUUAUUGGGCGUAAAGAGCUCGUAGGUGGUCUAUCACGUCGGAUGUGAAACCCUGAGGCUCAACCUCAGGCCUGCAUUCGAUACGGGCAGACUAGAGUGUGGUAGGGGAGACUGGAAUUCCUGGUGUAGCGGUGAAAUGCGCAGAUAUCAGGAGGAACACCGAUGGCGAAGGCAGAUCUCUGGGCCGUAACUGACGCUGAGGAGCGAAAGCAUGGGGAGCGAACAGG